rnacentral:rRNA from 1 species
AGCGUACACGGUGGAUGCCCUGGCAGUCAGAGGCGAUGAAGGACGUGCUAAUCUGCGAUAAGCGUCGGUAAGGUGAUAUGAACCGUUAUAACCGGCGAUUUCCGAAUGGGGAAACCCAGUGUGAUUCGUCACACUAUCAUUAACUGAAUCCAUAGGUUAAUGAGGCGAACCGGGGGAACUGAAACAUCUAAGUACCCCGAGGAAAAGAAAUCAACCGAGAUUCCCCCAGUAGCGGCGAGCGAACGGGGAGCAGCCCAGAGCCUGAAUCAGUGUGUGUGUUAGUGGAAGCGUCUGGAAAGGCGCGCGAUACAGGGUGACAGCCCCGUACACAAAAAUGCACAUACUGUGAGCUCGAUGAGUAGGGCGGGACACGUGGUAUCCUGUCUGAAUAUGGGGGGACCAUCCUCCAAGGCUAAAUACUCCUGACUGACCGAUAGUGAACCAGUACCGUGAGGGAAAGGCGAAAAGAACCCCGGCGAGGGGAGUGAAAAAGAACCUGAAACCGUGUACGUACAAGCAGUGGGAGCACGCUUAGGCGUGUGACUGCGUACCUUUUGUAUAAUGGGUCAGCGACUUAUAUUCUGUAGCAAGGUUAACCGAAUAGGGGAGCCGAAGGGAAACCGAGUCUUAACUGGGCGUUAAGUUGCAGGGUAUAGACCCGAAACCCGGUGAUCUAGCCAUGGGCAGGUUGAAGGUUGGGUAACACUAACUGGAGGACCGAACCGACUAAUGUUGAAAAAUUAGCGGAUGACUUGUGGCUGGGGGUGAAAGGCCAAUCAAACCGGGAGAUAGCUGGUUCUCCCCGAAAGCUAUUUAGGUAGCGCCUCGUGAAUUCAUCUCCGGGGGUAGAGCACUGUUUCGGCAAGGGGGUCAUCCCGACUUACCAACCCGAUGCAAACUGCGAAUACCGGAGAAUGUUAUCACGGGAGACACACGGCGGGUGCUAACGUCCGUCGUGAAGAGGGAAACAACCCAGACCGCCAGCUAAGGUCCCAAAGUCAUGGUUAAGUGGGAAACGAUGUGGGAAGGCCCAGACAGCCAGGAUGUUGGCUUAGAAGCAGCCAUCAUUUAAAGAAAGCGUAAUAGCUCACUGGUCGAGUCGGCCUGCGCGGAAGAUGUAACGGGGCUAAACCAUGCACCGAAGCUGCGGCAGCGACGCUGAUGCGUUGUUGGGUAGGGGAGCGUUCUGUAAGCCUGCGAAGGUGUGCUGUGAGGCAUGCUGGAGGUAUCAGAAGUGCGAAUGCUGACAUAAGUAACGAUAAAGCGGGUGAAAAGCCCGCUCGCCGGAAGACCAAGGGUUCCUGUCCAACGUUAAUCGGGGCAGGGUGAGUCGACCCCUAAGGCGAGGCCGAAAGGCGUAGUCGAUGGGAAACAGGUUAAUAUUCCUGUACUUGGUGUUACUGCGAAGGGGGGACGGAGAAGGCUAUGUUGGCCGGGCGACGGUUGUCCCGGUUUAAGCGUGUAGGCUGGUUUUCCAGGCAAAUCCGGAAAAUCAAGGCUGAGGCGUGAUGACGAGGCACUACGGUGCUGAAGCAACAAAUGCCCUGCUUCCAGGAAAAGCCUCUAAGCAUCAGGUAACAUCAAAUCGUACCCCAAACCGACACAGGUGGUCAGGUAGAGAAUACCAAGGCGCUUGAGAGAACUCGGGUGAAGGAACUAGGCAAAAUGGUGCCGUAACUUCGGGAGAAGGCACGCUGAUAUGUAGGUGAAGUCCCUCGCGGAUGGAGCUGAAAUCAGUCGAAGAUACCAGCUGGCUGCAACUGUUUAUUAAAAACACAGCACUGUGCAAACACGAAAGUGGACGUAUACGGUGUGACGCCUGCCCGGUGCCGGAAGGUUAAUUGAUGGGGUCAGCGCAAGCGAAGCUCUUGAUCGAAGCCCCGGUAAACGGCGGCCGUAACUAUAACGGUCCUAAGGUAGCGAAAUUCCUUGUCGGGUAAGUUCCGACCUGCACGAAUGGCGUAAUGAUGGCCAGGCUGUCUCCACCCGAGACUCAGUGAAAUUGAACUCGCUGUGAAGAUGCAGUGUACCCGCGGCAAGACGGAAAGACCCCGUGAACCUUUACUAUAGCUUGACACUGAACAUUGAGCCUUGAUGUGUAGGAUAGGUGGGAGGCUUUGAAGUGUGGACGCCAGUCUGCAUGGAGCCGACCUUGAAAUACCACCCUUUAAUGUUUGAUGUUCUAACGUUGACCCGUAAUCCGGGUUGCGGACAGUGUCUGGUGGGUAGUUUGACUGGGGCGGUCUCCUCCUAAAGAGUAACGGAGGAGCACGAAGGUUGGCUAAUCCUGGUCGGACAUCAGGAGGUUAGUGCAAUGGCAUAAGCCAGCUUGACUGCGAGCGUGACGGCGCGAGCAGGUGCGAAAGCAGGUCAUAGUGAUCCGGUGGUUCUGAAUGGAAGGGCCAUCGCUCAACGGAUAAAAGGUACUCCGGGGAUAACAGGCUGAUACCGCCCAAGAGUUCAUAUCGACGGCGGUGUUUGGCACCUCGAUGUCGGCUCAUCACAUCCUGGGGCUGAAGUAGGUCCCAAGGGUAUGGCUGUUCGCCAUUUAAAGUGGUACGCGAGCUGGGUUUAGAACGUCGUGAGACAGUUCGGUCCCUAUCUGCCGUGGGCGCUGGAGAACUGAGGGGGGCUGCUCCUAGUACGAGAGGACCGGAGUGGACGCAUCACUGGUGUUCGGGUUGUCAUGCCAAUGGCACUGCCCGGUAGCUAAAUGCGGAAGAGAUAAGUGCUGAAAGCAUCUAAGCACGAAACUUGCCCCGAGAUGAGUUCUCCCUGACUCCUUGA